rnacentral:rRNA from 1 species
ACGGGUCUUCGGGACUAGUGGCGGGCGGGUGAGUAACGCGUGGGAACAUACCCUUUGGUACGGAAUAGCCUCGGGAAACUGAGAGUAAUACCGUAUGUGCCCUUCGGGGGAAAGAUUUAUCGCCAAAGGAUUGGCCCGCGUUGGAUUAGGUAGUUGGUGGGGUAAUGGCCUACCAAGCCGACGAUCCAUAGCUGGUUUGAGAGGAUGAUCAGCCACACUGGGACUGAGACACGGCCCAGACUCCUACGGGAGGCAGCAGUGGGGAAUCUUAGACAAUGGGGGAAACCCUGAUCUAGCCAUGCCGCGUGAUCGAUGAAGGCCUUAGGGUUGUAAAGAUCUUUCAGAUGGGAAGAUAAUGACGGUACCAUCAGAAGAAGCCCCGGCUAACUCCGUGCCAGCAGCCGCGGUAAUACGGAGGGGGCUAGCGUUAUUCGGAAUUACUGGGCGUCAAGCGCACGUAGGCGGAUCAGAAAGUCAGAGGUGAAAUCCCAGUGCUCAACCUUGGAACUGCCUUUGAAACUCCUGGUCUUGAGGUCGAGAGAGGUGAGUGGAAUUCCGAGUGUAG